AUAUGUAGAAGCAAAUAAUGACAACCAGGUACAACAAGCCACUAACAAUUUAUAGAGAUAAAUUGAACAACACCAACAGUUUUACUUAAACUACUUAUUAUGGAAUGUGAAGUAAGAUAAGAAGGACUACUUUAUGUUUUGUACAAAUCUAACCAAAUUUUGAUGAUUUGAAAAAUAUGACGAACAUGAUGAACACAGAACAAAAAUUUGGCAAAAUUAACUAAUUAUGGCAAAUCUUGCAAAUGAUCUUGUAAAAACAAGUUCCUUAAUAAAAGUGGUGUCGGUUAUAUCAAGGAAAUCAGGGAAUUUAGAUUUCUGCAAAAGACUACGGAAUAAUCAGUGAAAUUGGGUUGUAUUUUGAAAUAAUCAGAGAAUAUGGCUAUGUGGCAAAUGUAUAUGACCUAUAUCAGUUUUGUAUCAUACACGUAAUGUAAAAAUUUAUUCGGAUUUUCUUUAUGGCCUUCUAUUGAUAAUUUGAUGUUGCUUGUAAUUAUGUUUAUAUAUAUUUGCACUUAAGAAUUUUUCUGAAUGAAUUUAAGUUGAUUUUCUCUAAAGUUAAGCUUUUGUUGCUUUAAAUUAAGUCAGCAAAAAUCAGGUUGAGAAUCAGAGAAAAGUCAGGGAAAUCCAUCUUUAAAUAAUGGCAGACACCCUUUAUUAUAUUUAAUUUGUUUGCUUAAGGUAAACAACAUCGUGCAUAUCCUGGAACACUUGGAGAAGAAUAGAAGUAGUUGUUAGUUAUUAAAUAUUAUAUUUAUUUGAAGACUACAGGACAAAACCCAAAUUAGUUUAUGUUUUUAAUUUUAAUAAAAAUACCAUUUUGUGUUUGAUGAACUAUAUUAGUACUCGUACUAAUAUAAUUAAUCAAACACAAAAUAGUAUUUUUAUUAUAUAUGUUAUA